rnacentral:lncRNA from 1 species
CAAAGUUGAAUCUCCAUAGAUAAUAAGGUUCUUGAUCCGCAAAUCAAUCGCCUCUUCGAUACCCAAGAUACAAGCUUCGUAUUCAGCCAUAUUGUUGGUGCACUCAAACGUUAGCCGGGCAGCAAAAGGAAUGUAGGAUCCUUUCGGCGUAACCAAAACAACACCAACUCCACUACCAUUCACGUUAACGGCCCCAUCAAACAUCAGAAUCCAUUCGGAUUCAGGGUCGGGCCUCUCCUCCCGGAUAUGUUCCUCACAAUCUUUCGAUUUGAGAAACAUGAUGUCCUCAUCAGGGAAUUCAAACUUCA